AGAGUUUGAUCCUGGCUCAGGAUGAACGCUAGCUACAGGCUUAACACAUGCAAGUCGAGGGGCAGCAUUUUAGUUUGCUUGCAAACUGAAGAUGGCGACCGGCGCACGGGUGAGUAACACGUAUCCAACCUGCCGAUAACUCCGGGAUAGCCUUUCGAAAGAAAGAUUAAUACCGGAUGGCAUACGAAUAUCGCAUGAUAUUUUUAUUAAAGAAUUUCGGUUAUCGAUGGGGAUGCGUUCCAUUAGUUUGUUGGCGGGGUAACGGCCCACCAAGACUACGAUGGAUAGGGGUUCUGAGAGGAAGGUCCCCCACAUUGGAACUGAGACACGGUCCAAACUCCUACGGGAGGCAGCAGUGAGGAAUAUUGGUCAAUGGGCGAGAGCCUGAACCAGCCAAGUAGCGUGAAGGAUGAAGGCUCUAUGGGUCGUAAACUUCUUUUAUAUGGGAAUAAAGUUUUCCACGUGUGGAAUUUUGUAUGUACCAUAUGAAUAAGGAUCGGCUAACUCCGUGCCAGCAGCCGCGGUAAUACGGAGGAUCCGAGCGUUAUCCGGAUUUAUUGGGUUUAAAGGGAGCGUAGGUGGAUUGUUAAGUCAGUUGUGAAAGUUUGCGGCUCAACCGUAAAAUUGCAGUUGAAACUGGCAGUCUUGAGUACAGUAGAGGUGGGCGGAAUUCGUGGUGUAGCGGUGAAAUGCUUAGAUAUCACGAAGAACUCCGAUUGCGAAGGCAGCUCACUAGACUGUUACUGACACUGAUGCUCGAAAGUGUGGGUAUCAAACAGGAUUAGAUACCCUGGUAGUCCACACAGUAAACGAUGAAUACUCGCUGUUUGCGAUAUACAGUAAGCGGCCAAGCGAAAGCAUUAAGUAUUCCACCUGGGGAGUACGCCGGCAACGGUGAAACUCAAAGGAAUUGACGGGGGCCC
rnacentral:rRNA from 1 species